rfam:Homo sapiens chromosome 9, GRCh38 reference primary assembly.
GCCGGGCGUGGUGGUGCACGCCUGUAAUCCCAGCUACUUAGGAGGCUGAGGCAGGAGAAUUGCUUGAACCCAGGAAGUGGAGGUUGCAGUGAGCCAAGAUCACGUCACUGCACUCCAGCCUGGGCAACAGAGCAAGACUCCAUCUCAA